rnacentral:tRNA from 1 species
GGUCCCAUAGUCCAGUGGCCAAGACGGCUCGUUUACACCGAGUAGAUCCAGGUUCGACUCCUGGUGGGACCA